rnacentral:rRNA from 1 species
UUCGGGGUGCAGCAGGCGCGAAAACUUUACAAUGCCGGCAACGGCGAUAAGGGAACCUCGAGUGCCAGGUUACAAAUCUGGCUGUCGUGAUGCCUAAAACGCAUUGCAUAGCAAGGGCCGGGCAAGACCGGUGCCAGCCGCCGCGGUAACACCGGCGGCUCGAGUGGUAACCGUUAUUAUUGGGUCUAAAGGGUCUGUAGCCGGCCGGGUAAGUCUCUUGGGAAAUCUGGCAGCUUAACUGUCAGGCUUUCAGGAGAUACUGCCUGGCUCGAGGCCGGGAGAGGUGAGAGGUACUUCAGGGGUAGGGGUGAAAUCUUGUAAUCCUUGAAGGACCACCAGUGGCGAAGGCGUCUCACCAGAACGGACCUGACGGCAAGGGACGAAAGCUAGGGGCACGAACCGGAUUAGAUACCCGGGUAGUCCUAGCCGUAAACGAUACUCGCUAGGUGUCGGCCACGGUGCGACCGUGGUCGGUGCCGUAGGGAAGCCGUGAAGCGAGCCACCUGGGAAGUACGGCCGCAAGGCUGAAACUUAAAGGAAUUGGCGGGGGAGCAC